rnacentral:rRNA from 1 species
AUUGAACGCUGGCGGCAUGCCUUACACAUGCAAGUCGAACGGUAACAGGUCUUCGGAUGCUGACGAGUGGCGAACGGGUGAGUAAUACAUCGGAACGUGCCUAGUAGUGGGGGAUAACUACUCGAAAGAGUGGCUAAUACCGCAUGAGAUCUACGGAUGAAAGCAGGGGAUCGCAAGACCUUGUGCUAUUAGAGCGGCCGAUGGCAGAUUAGGUAGUUGGUGGGAUAAAAGCUUACCAAGCCGACGAUCUGUAGCUGGUCUGAGAGGACGAUCAGCCACACUGGGACUGAGACACGGCCCAGACUCCUACGGGGCAGCAGUGGGGAAUUUUGGACAAUGGGCGCAAGCCUGAUCCAGCAAUGCCGCGUGCAGGAUGAAGGCCUUCGGGUUGUAAACUGCUUUUGUACGGAACGAAAAGCCCUGGGUUAAUACCCUGGGGUCAUGACGGUACCGUAAGAAUAAGCACCGGCUAACUACGUGCCAGCAGCCGCAGUAACAC